UUUGUCCUUUGUCACGUUUGUGUCUACUUCAACUACUAAGUCUUGUUGUUGACGAUGAAGACGCUAGUAGUAGCAUGAACUGAAUGAUUGGAACUGCAGUACAACCGCUGCAGUGCUACGUGAGAACUGCUGGUGGCUCUGCAUUCCGAUGAGUUACGCAAGUGCCACGCUAAUCAUUAGUCACUGAUGCUGGCGUAUCACACAAUGGAGUUGAGACUGGAGAUGUGCGUACCAGAUCAGCGGAUAUUGUUUAUACGGAAGGCAGCAGUGUUCCUUGCCAUGAUUAACGCAGAAUACAAGUGCAGUUGAGGCUGAUGCGCCAGAAGACAAGAUUGCAGAGGCUAAGGGUGACAGCCGCAGGUCUAAUGCUGAACAGACUGCGCAUGUUGAAGAGGUUUGAGUAGAUAGCAUAUGAACAGGCAAGAUCGAGGAGCAAGUGAUCACCCAUACCUGGCACCGGCAUCACAGCUGGACUUCCUAACAACAAAGAUAUUGCCAAAUUACCAUCACCUGCAGACGUCGCAGUCGGCAGCAGCAACAUUUUGACCAAAGAUAUCCUUGCCGUAUCCACCUUAUGUGGCCCUGUGAUUUUUGCUGCAAACCCACAGUCGCUGAACACGAGUUCUAACAUGCAAUUGACUAGAUCAGAUUACUGGUCACGCUAUCGAAACCUAUCAUUUUCCUCUGUAUGUUCUGCUGCGUAACAUGUUAUCGUGUCUCAUUCUUUCACAUGCUGAUCAUAUAUGUAUGUUUUUAGCAUUGUAUUCAACAGAGUGAUGCAAUUUACAAACAGCUAGAUCAUUGUCACAUUCAUGCGCAUUGUCUGGUUCAUAUAUUAUAGCAAUAAAAACUGCUUUAUGGCAGUUUUCGCGGAUGCGGAAAACUCGGCUUCCAGCCGAGUCUCACGCGAACCGUGAAAUUUAUUUAUUUUUUUUUUUUAUGGCAGUUUUCUAAAAAAAGUUAUUGUGUUCUAGUCCAUGGACCCUGUCUAAAAAGUGAGAAAUUAACGAAAUGUGAUAGCCGAAAAUUAAAAUUUCACACAAAACCUCACAAUAAUCACAACACUUGAAAUGCUGCUUUCAACAUUAAACUUGUACUGCACCAACAAUUGGCAACAUGCGUGCAUAGGAAAGAGGAUCACGAGGGGAAAAGGUCUGCUACAUGUAGCUUUUCAUUCUGUGUGUGAAUAUUGUGAGGUUUUGUGUGAAAUUUUAAUUUUCGGCUAUCACAUUUCGUUAAUUAUUUCUUACUUUUUAGACAGGGUCCAUGGACUAGAACACAAUAACUUUUUUUAGAAAACUGCCACAAAGCAGUUUUUAUUGCUAUAAUUUCUUUUGUUUUUUUCUGUCACCAAUCAAUGGAAUGCCCUAUAUCAAGAGUGCAUAAACACAUCAAUAUGUAAAUGAUGGCUUUCACAUCAUAUCAAUACCGUAUUAUACGCAUUGAUGAAAAUGGCACUAGCAUAAUGCA